CCGGGGCUGCUUAAGAUGCCCCAGAUUUGCAUCCAGCCCCCGCCGCCUCCCAGCCCCAUCCCAGGCUCCCAGGGAGAGGAUAAGAGGGGCCUGGCAGAGCCCGGACCCAGCUGGUUCUCUCUGGGGGGCAGAGCUCUCGGGGUCCCCUGCACCAUGGCCUGGCCUCUCGUCUGCCUCCUCCUGCUCACCUGCUGCUCAGGUUCCUUCUCCCAGCCUGUGCUGACUCAGGCUCCCUCCAUGUCUGCGUCCCUGGGAGCCCCAGCCAGACUCUCCUGCACCCUCAGCAGUCAGUACAGCAACUACUAUAUUCAUUGGUACCAGCAGAGCCCGGGAAAGGCCCCUCGGUACCUCAUGUAUGUGAAGGGCGAUGGAAGUGCAGGCAAGGGCGAGGGGGUCCCCGACCGCUUCUCGGGCUCCAGCUCUGGGGCCAAUCGCUACUUGUCCAUCAGCAACAUCCAGCCUGAGGACGAGGCCGAUUACUAAUGUCAGACAGGUGGCUACCACUGUGCUAU